AGGAAAGUAGUUAUCUGUAAUUCGAGUAGAGACAAAAGUUUUGGCCCUGCAUACUUAAAGAGGACAUGGAAACAAAGAACUUUCGAGAACGAAUCAUAUGGAAAAAUAACUGAAUAUGAAAAAUGGAAGAUGGAGUGCCUGAAAAAUACCGACGGGGAAAUGGAGAGGUUUGAUGAUGAUACAGUGAAAAGAGAAGGAACGACUGAGAAAAUAAACGUAAAAGCCACGAAGAACGACGAGCAACUUUUUCAGUGAGGAAAUUGACCGGUCGGCCAUAUGCGUCGACUCGUGGCGAGACGAGGGAGUCCCACAACCGCAACUUCAAGAUGGGGGGGCAAGGAGGGACCCUCGAAACGUAGCAUACGAUUCGGUAGGAGCAACAAAGAGGAGAUAUUCGCGCAUUACAAAUUUAAUCUUACAAAUGGAUCCCGAAAACUUAGAAACAAUAGAAUAUAUGAAAUGCGGCUGUGUAUAUCAAGUCUGUGCUCUCCGUAGACACCCAAAAGCCUGCGUGACGGAGGAGAGAGUUUGGGGAUUGGCUCCCGCAGCGGGCAAUAUUGUCAGGGCCGAUCUAUAUUCGCAAUGAAAGAGCGAAGAAAUCGGGAAGCUCGAAAAAACGAAGAGGACGUGUAGAAACGAGGUGUUGACAGUGAAACAACAAAAGACGGAACUGCCGUUUCGUCUCGCUUCCUCUUUCCAACUAAAUUCGACUCGAUACAGUAUUUCAGGCCAUAUUCAUUGGAAACAUUUUUCAAAAUACUACUUUCCACAGUCGUAAAAUAAUGAUUCGACCCUGCUCGGUAUAGUUUCUCCCCAAAAAAAUAACAGCAAAACCGUACGAAACUACUAAAUUUUGAA